CCCCGACACCCCUCAUCCCUCCCCCAACCUCCCAGAACGGAUAGACAGGUGAGCAGGUGCAUGGGGACGGCUGCCAGACACUGGGGCCAGCCGGCAGAGGCGGGGCGGGUGGCUUCCUUGUGUUUGUUCCCCUGAGGGUGGAUUCUCCCUGUGGGCAAGGACACUGUGUGCGUGUCUUGCCUUCACUGCCACCUCCUCUUUCCCUCUGUCUUCUUGCAAGGAGGAGGUUCAUCUUCUUCGUCGUUGCAUCCAGCCGCUGCUACUGCCAGUGCCACGUGCCUUAUAAGGUAGGGGAGUGGCAGACGACCUCUUUCUGCCCCUCUUUGCCCUUCCUCACAGUCCUGUCCGCCUACCCUCCCUGGAAUUUCCUAAAGGAAAAGUGGCUGGCAAAGCAGAAGCAAACACACCGGGAGGGACAAGCCUGCAUUGCCGCGGGAAGGAUACAGAUGGAGUGUAUUGGGUCUUUUUCUACUGCCAUGAAAGAGCCUGACACCUGCACACACAGGCGCGACUUAAAAUAGAACUUGUCAAACAGUGAUCCUCUCUGGAAAGAGCUCUAAACAACAAACAGCUCUUGAACUCAUAUCUCGGCCUAAAAAGGCGGCGUUCUGUGAUAUGGUGCCGUCUUUGGUGGGAGCAACACACCCCACACUUUAAAACUCCCUAACGAUCCUCAGGUAUGAUGCCAAUUAAUGAUGCCUCCCUUUUUCAUGGGCGUGUAUGGUUCAGAGGAGUUUUUAAAUUAUCUAAAAAUAUGAGUGAUUUUUGCUGCCAUUCUUGAUCUGUAACAAAAGUAGAUUUCGGUAUCUGCACCGUCACAGAAGCAAAAAAAAGAGGGGAGGGUAUUACUUUUAAUAAAAAAAAAAACUUAACAUGUACAGUUAUCUUGCUGCUGGUAUUGAAUUAAAACUAAAUAAGCAUGACUGCUAGUUUCUUCUCAGAAAUGAAGAAUGCAAUAUUCUUUAAUAUUUCAUGACUGUCGUUUUCAAUAAAAACAUAUUACAAGCCGCAAGAAAUAUUAGGUAUCUUGAGGUCUAUUCAAAUCAGUUUUAAUUGUCAUCUCAAAUGAAAAAAAAAAAGUCAAUAUACAAAUCCAUCAUAAUCCAGUUGUUAUUAAUCAUAUUUAAUUGGAUCUGGGCACAUGGAAAAAUUCCGAAGUGCCACAGGUUAUAAAAAGUUUCUCAAAAACAGUGCUUAAGAUUAUAGUUACUGGUGAUAUGACUGUUUAAAUUUGCACUGAAGUAAUCAAAUUAUUAAAAUUGCUGAGCAAAAUUUCUAAAAGAAGUGGUAAUCAGCUUGUUUAAUUAAAUUAAAUGACAAUGGAAUUUAAAAUGUUAGCAUGGUUGAAACUGUAUGAGAAAUUUACAAGAUUAGUCUUGAUAGUUUGAUUUGAAAAAUCUUGUAACAAUUCUAGCUACAGCAUUUUGAUCUGUCCC
rnacentral:lncRNA from 1 species